UACGGGGGGGGCAAGCGUUGUUCGGAUUUACUGGGCGUAAAGGGCGCGUAGGCGGCUUUGCAAGUCAGUUGUGAAAUCUCCGGGCUUAACCCGGAGCGGCCAAGUGAUACUGUCGUGCUAGAGUGCGGAAGGGGCUACUGGAAUUCUCGGUGUAGCGGUGAAAUGCGUAGAUAUCGUAAGGAAGACCAGUGGCGAAGGCGAGUCUCUGGACAGCAACUGACGCUGAGGCACGAAGGCCAGGGGAGCAAACGGG
rnacentral:rRNA from 1 species